rnacentral:rRNA from 1 species
GUAUUUGUUUAGUUAAGCAAUUAUUUAUUUUUUUAUUAUUUGUUUUAAUAUUUUUUUUUUUAUUAGUAUUUCAUGAUAUUAUUUAAUAGUAGUUACUGAUUAGGUCUUAAUAAUUUAUUAAAAAUAAAUUCUUAGUACCUUUUGUAUCAGGGUUAAUCAAAUUUUAUAAUUUAUAUUUUUUUCCCGAAUUGAAAAUAUUUAUAAUAUUAUUUGUUUAUUUGUUAUAAAAAGUUAUAUAAUAUUUUUAUGGUAAUAAAAAGUUAAUCGUUUUUCACUAUAUCUGGUUGUUUAAGAAAAAAUUUAAUUUUAGAUUUGAGGUUAAAAUUUGAUUUUAAUUUAUUUCUUAAAUUUAUUGGGGAUAAGCUCAAUUUUUUUUUAAAAUUUUAUUUUUUGUUUAUUUUUUAUAGUUUUAGAAUUUUACUCUUAGUUUGUAACAAAUUUAAAUUUUUAAUUAUUAUUUUUUUGUAUUUAAUUUUUUAUUAAAUUAAUUUAAUAAAUUUAAUUUUAUUUUAAAUAAUGAUUAAAUUAGUAUAAUUUUUAUUUAUAAAAUAAUGAACUCGACAAUUUUUAUUUUCAACUGUUUACCAAAAACAUUUCUUUUAGAUUUUAAUUAAAAGUAUUUUCUGCCCAAUGAUUUUUAAUUAAAUGGCUGCAGUAUUUUGACUGUACAAAGGUAGCAUAAUAAUUAGUUUUUUAAUUGAGAACUGGAAUGAAUGGAUAUAUGAAAAAUAUGUUUUAUUUUUUAUAAUUUUAUAACUUUAUUUUUGAGUAAAAAAGCUUAAUUGUUUUUUAGGGACGAAAAGACCCUAUAGAACUUAUAUUAUUAUCAAAAUUUGAUUUUAUUUAGGUUUUAAUAAAUUAUUUUUGUAUAUAAUUUGGUUGGGGGGACAAAUAAAUUUUUUAACUUUAUUUUUUUUAUUCAUUAUUUUUAUGAUUUUUCUGAUCCUUACAAGAGAAUUAAGAUUAAGUUACCUUAGGGAUAACAGCGUAAUUUUAAUGGGGAGAUCUUAUUUAUAUUAAAGUUUGCGACCUCGAUGUUGAAUUAAGAAAAGUUUAAGGGGUAGGUUCUUUAAUUUCUAAGUCUGUUCGACUUUUAAUUUCUUACAUGAUUUGAGUUCAGACCGGCGUGAGCCAGGUCGGUUUCUAUCUUAAAAUUAUUUAUUUGUUUUAGUACGAAAGGACCAUUCAAUUCUAUUCAUUAUAGUUAUUUUAUAGU